rnacentral:rRNA from 1 species
AAGCUCGUAGUUGAAUUUCGGGGUUAGUAGGUUGGUCAUGCCUCCGGUAUGUACUGGUCUCACUGAUUCCUCCUUCCUGAUGAACCGUAAUGCCAUUAAUUUGGUGUUGCGGGGAAUUUGGACUGUUACUUUGAAAAAAUUAGAGUGUUUAAAGCAAGCUAACGCUUGAAUACAUUAGCAUGGAAUAAUGAAAUAGGACGUUCGAUCCUAUUUUGUUGGUUUCUAGGAUUGACGUAAUGUAUAGAGAUGUG